UACGUAGGGUCCGAGCGUUGUCCGGAAUUACUGGGCGUAAAGAGCUCGUAGGUGGUUUGUCGCGUUGUUCGUGAAAACUCACAGCUCAACUGUGGGCGUGCGGGCGAUACGGGCAGACUAGAGUACUGCAGGGGAGACUGGAAUUCCUGGUGUAGCGGUGGAAUGCGCAGAUAUCAGGAGGAACACCGGUGGCGAAGGCGGGUCUCUGGGCAGUAACUGACGCUGAGGAGCGAAAGCGUGGGGAGGCGAACAGG
rnacentral:rRNA from 1 species